rnacentral:pre_miRNA from 1 species
CGGGGGAGGCCGGAUCAUGGGCUGUGUCCCGGCGCCCAGUGCUGCGGGGCCUGCGCUGUUGGAUUCGCGCUCCCGCCCCGCAGCCCCCU